CAUUGUGAGGGAACCUCUGAGCUUUUUGCUGCCCUCUUAGAUUGGGAAAGGGGACUCUGGGGGGAGAGAAACUGCCUCCUAAUUUCUUUCAUCAUGUGUUCAGAAUUCAGCUGUGUUUGUUUUAUUGCCUGCAGUGGGUUUCUCUGGAUUCUGUGUAGUGACAAUAUUUUACUUUUGACAACAAUCUACCAGAUGGAGGAUCCAUGCUAAGUUAUUUAAGGAUUUUCAUUAAAGAAUAAGAUACAGAAACAAGGAGAAAGAGGGAGAGAGAAUCCCAAGACUGAGCCCUGAAACCAUCCAUCAUUCACAGGUAGAGACUCACCCAGGAGACUGAGGAGGGAGAGAAUGUGCAGUCACAGAAGUGCAGGAGAAGCUGGAACCCAUGCCUCUGAGAGGCUGGUAAGUUGAAGACAGAAGAGUACCAAUUGGAUUCAGCAAAGACAGGUGACUUAGGAAAAGCAUUAUUUUAAAGAGAAAGAGAUUGAAAUCUUUUAAAGAUGUGUUGAGCAGAGAACUGUGUCUGAAGGUGUGAGAAAGUGGUUGUACACAACUCCUGUGAGAAAUUUUGCUGUGAGGAGGAACAGAAAAUAGGAAAAGAAGUAACUGCAGGACUAUAACCCUUGAGGAGGCACUCAUCCACACUGUGAACUGUUCAAUAGCCAGUCUAAAAAUAGACUGAGUAACAUGGGUGAGCUGAUGUUGUCAGUAUCUGCCCUGGUGCCUUCCCUGUCACCCUAGCUUCACUUCCUGCAACUCUGCCUGAGGGCUUUGUCUGCCACCAGAGUCAGCUCUGCUAAAGUACAAGGCAGCCAGGAGUGAUGGGGAAUUCAACGUCUUCCUCGGCUCUCC